rnacentral:rRNA from 1 species
AGAGUUUGAUCCUGGCUCAGAGCGAACGUUAGCGGCGGGCCUAACACAUGCAAGUCGAACGAGAAUGUAGGCUUCGGUCUACUAGUAAAGUGGCGGACGGGUGCGUAACACGUGGGUAAUCUACCUUCCGGCGGGGGACAACAGUCCGAAAGGAUUGCUAAUACCGCAUACGUCAGCGGCGCCUACGGGCGCUGUUGGGAAAGACGGCCUCUCCUUGGAAGCUGUCACCGGAAGAUGAGCCCGCGUCCCAUCAGCUAGUUGGUGAGGUAACGGCUCACCAAGGCUUAGACGGGUAGCUGGUCUGAGAGGAUGAUCAGCCACACUGGGACUGCGACACGGCCCAGACUCCUACGGGAGGCAGCAGUGGGGAAUAUUGGGCAAUGGGCGAAAGCCUGACCCAGCCACGCCGCGUGAGUGAUGAAGGCCUUCGGGUCGUAAAGCUCUGUGGGGAGGGACGAACAAAUCUGGGGCUAAUCACCCGGGUCCUGACGGUACCUCCUUAGCAAGCACCGGCUAACCCUGUGCCAGCCGCCGCGGUAAUAC